UACGUGAGGGCCUAGUCGUUGAUCCGGAAUUAUUGGGCGUAAAGAGCUCGUAGGCGGUUCGCAAGUCGAUGUGAAUCUCCACGCUCCAACGUGGAAGGGGCCAUUCGAAACUGCCGUGAACUCGAGUCCGGUAGGGGAGUGUGGAAUUCCCGGGUGUAGCGGUAGAAAUGCGACAGAUAUCAGGAGGAACACCGGUAGCGAAGGCGGUCUCUGGGCCGAUACUGACGCUGAGGAGCGGAAAGCGUGGGGAGCGAACAG
rnacentral:rRNA from 1 species